rnacentral:rRNA from 1 species
AGCGAACGUUUGCGGCGGGCUUAACACAUGCAAGUCGAACGGGCUGUUCCUUCGGGGGCAGUCAGUGGCGCACGGGUGCGUAACACGUAGGUAAUCAACCCUCUGGUUGGGGAUAACACUUCGAAAGGAGUGCUAAUACCCGGUAUGGCGCAGCGGUCUUCGGAUCGCGGCGAGAAAGACCCGCAAGGGUUGCCAGAGGACGAGCCUGCGGCCCAUCAGCUAGUUGGCGAGGUAACGGCUCACCAAGGCGAAGACGGGUAGCUGGUCUGAGAGGAUGAUCAGCCACACUGGGACUGAGACACGGCCCAGACUCCUACGGGAGGCAGCAGUGGGGAAUAUUGGACAAUGGGGGAAACCCUGAUCCAGCUACGCCGCGUGGGUGAUGAAGGCCUUCGGUUGUAAGCCUGUCGAGGGGACGAAGUUCGUGACGGUACCCCUCAACGAAGACACCGGCUAACUCCGUG